GGUUGUCAAACCUCAAGCUGGGAUCCCCAGACAAUUUAGUUGUAGCCCUGAACCAGCUUUACCUGAAUAAAGUAGAAAAGGGCAUGAUAAUUGGUAGAUAAUUCAGGUGUGCUAGCUUUGUAAAACAUCUAAUACAUUGAGUGGAGAGGUUUGGGAGAGGUUGAAGAACCUCUGACAUAGCCUACCUGUAUAUUUGUCCAGUGUAAAUUCACACACUGUUGAACACUGACCUGUGCUGAUCCACAGCCACUGAUGGCUGGCUGGAAAGUUCUUGUAUUGUUCUCCACAGGAAGCCCAGACAUCUUUUGGGAUCAUUUUGUACCAAGGCCCAGCUAGGGCAGACCAAAGAUCAAAACAUUUAGUUCAGGCACUGUGACUUAUAAAAUAUGGCAUGGUUUUAUUCUGUUGUAACUAUAAAAAUAUGGCAUGGUCGUAUUGUAUCUUGUUAAUGUAGAUGUAAAACUAAAACAUCAUUGUCAGUCCCUCCUAACUGCUUUGUUAAUACAUCUCUCUUCUACAGCUCUGAACACAUGUUUUAAAUGCUUGGAGGAGGAUUUAGUUUGCCAAAAGAUGAACCGCAUUUUUAACACAAAGACAAAUGAAAAAUUGUGGGAAGAAAGUGGAGCAAAGCAAGGCCUGCCUAAAUGUCCCCUCACCCCUCCUCCCAUGACUGGACAGUGUGUUCCCUGUUUAGAGGACCUCCAGGUCCUCAUUGUGUGUGUCAACGUGUCUGCGGAGAUCGAGCUGGACCUGGAGGCCUCUGAUGGGAAGAGUCUUUCCUACACUGCUGCCACGUGCCCUGCAGGAAGUUGGAGUCCUCCCAGUCAUUCUGGACACAUGGAGCCAAACUUCUUGACCAUCCUAAUGGCUGGCUUCAUCUUCAUCGUACUACAGAAAUGUGUCUGACACCCUCAAGAAAAUUGUUGCAUAUUUUUUUUGUUUAUUAUUCACAUGCUUGGUGGUUUUCGGUUUUAUUUUGGGUUUAAACUGCAGCUGCUAGUGAAGAUGUCAAACUACAAACGUUACAGUGAGAUAAAGCAAUCAGGCCCAGACCCAUGGCAACAUCCUGGUUGUGUUGCAGAUCUAGUUGCUGCCUGAGGAUUCCUACUUCCACAGCCCAUUGAAUAACCCUGUACUUGACCUUCUGGUCAUGCAACUGACUUGGAUUGACUCAGGCUGGGUAUCUGGAAAAUCACAUUUGUGACGACUGCUGAUGUAAAAACGUAUUUUGAAAAUACAUCUGACUGAUAACCUCCUUUCAGGGCGGCUGAAAAUGUCUGAUCUGUGAUAUUUAACUUAGAUUCAAGUCAUAUUAUCUUUUGUUGAUUGAUCAGCAAUAAACCAUGUUACCUGAAAUGCAUGUGUUUUCUUUAGGAAACUUUACACAACAUGGUUAUUUUGUUAAUUUUUUAAAAAUAACUUUUUAUUAUUGGCUCCCCUCAGAUGUGCCCAAUGAAUUGUGUUCAUUGUGUUCAUCUGCACAAAUAAAACGUUAACAUGGAA
rnacentral:lncRNA from 1 species